UACGGAGGAUGCAAGCGUUAUCCGGAAUGAUUGGGCGUAAAGAGCGCGCAGGCGGUCGUUCAAGUCGCGUGUGAAAGCCCCCGGCUCAACUGGGGAGGGUCACGCGAUACUGAUCGACUCGAAGGCAGGAGAGGGAAGUGGAAUUCCCGGUGUAGUGGUGAAAUGCGUAGAUAUCGGGAGGAACACCAGUGGCGAAGGCGACUUCCUGGCCUGUUCUUGACGCUCAUGCACGAAAGCGUGGGGAGCAAACAGG
rnacentral:rRNA from 1 species